CGAAAAAAUCAAUUUUUUUUAUGAAUGCUUAAAUUAUAUUAAGAAAAAAAUUAAUUAAAAAUGGUUGAAAAAAUUAUUUGAACUUGGACUCAAUGGCCCAAAGAAAAAAAAAAGUGAUAAUUGGAUCUGAUUUCUUAAUCGGCCCAAAUGACCCAAGAGAGAUCUGAUGUGGACAGUGGACUGGAUCCAAAAAAUGGUCCAAUAUAGAUGUGUUAUUAAUAUUACUUGAUUGCCCUUAAUUAAUGAAACAUGCAAUGUUAGUAAAAAAAAGGCAGACUAAAGUAAAAAGGACAAUUGCUUUAAUAGUAUAGAUGUCUUGACAUUUCUAUACUAACUUUAGUUUUAUUUAAAUUUAUUUGAUAAUAGAUUAUACAUCUCUAUUUAUAAUUGGUUACAUUAAUUUUAGUUUAUGAUUUUAAAAAUGUUUUUAAGUAAAUUUUCUUAAUUUUUGUGCUUUCAUCCAAAACAUCAUAUAUAAUGAAAGAGAGCGAGUAUAAAGUUUGUUUUAACAUUCGUUUAAUAUUUUUGUUACAAAAAAAUGAAAAGAUUAAAUAUACGAUUUUACAAGAUACAAUACUAAAAGGGGAAUAAGGGCUCCAUUGAGCCUAUCCAAGUCAGCCAAUUUAAUCAACCAAUCAUACAAUUUUGAUGAUCCACGUCAUCAUCAACACGACGCCAGCAAGUCAUUUUCUCCGUUUUUGUAUAUCGUGACUUUUCCACUCCUAUUUAUGACUUAUCUCCUCCCUCCUCCUUCAAUUAAUCAUCAUCUCUAAUUCUAUGAUCACUCACGCUUCAGCUUCUCCUCUAUUCUAUAUACAAGCUGUAUUUUUUUUUUUGGUUCUGCGACACUGGUCCGUGGUCUCAGCUUCACCCGCCUUCAUCUCCAUGGACGGAUCGAAGGAAACGUCAACAAACUCUGUGAUCAACUCAAUAAAUCUUCUCCGAUAAAAGUUGAAUCUGGAAAUUCCAACACAAAGAAGAGAAGAUCUGAUUACGAUUCCCCCAUGCGGCUCAUGUUGCCGUCAAAAGGUACACGAUCUGAACGAUGAUAUUGACGGAGGAAGACCGGAUCGGGGGUUUUCAGGUAUAAAGGAUCUAAAUUUCUGAUUAGAAUAUGUCUAAUAAAAGCUCAAACAAUAAACUCAUAAAACUUUAAAAUAUUAUGUGUUCUUUGUGAGCCAUGCUCAAACGGCAACGAGCUCCUUCCCAUAUAUUUUUAGUUCUUUAGAUUUUCUCUUCAUGUGUACAUUUUUGUUUGCAGCUAAUGUUUAUAUAUAUUGUUAUAUAAAAUUGAGAACCUUGCGAUGCCAUUCUUGACGUUAUUGAGAAUAGAUGAUGCGAACAAAACAGCUGUAAGUUUCUGAUGCUUGACGCAUGAUUGACGCUUUGUUAUCUACUCAUAACAAAGCUACAAGCAAUUGUGGAUCAAUGUAUUGAUUUCUUAAACAGGUUACUGUGUUUGAUAACAACCUGAACUUCAAGUAUUUUCAGAUCAGAUCCACGACUAAGCAAAAAAUUACAAUAUUUUAUCCUUUUCCUUUCAAAUAUAUAUACAAACUAAUCUGUAUUGAAUUUGCAUUUUAAAAUUUCUGUUCAGGACUUGCGGGUCAAUGCCAGUUGUAGAGUAUGAAAGAUAUAGUCUGCAGGAAGACACAAGUUUAGUGACUGUGAUAGGGAAGACUUUUGAUCAGUUGGUAUUAAACUGUCACGAGAAUGUUCUUCUUGAGGUUUUGUGGAGGCGAGGCUGCUGGCUCCUCUUCAACUACUUCCAAGUAUGGUGGUGUUAAGGAACUUAAGUCAGUCACGCUCCAGGAGCUUAAUAGCUAUGUUCUCAAUUCAACCCCACAUGUACGUCCACUUAAUAAGGAUGUGGAGUUCAUUUGCAAAGCUGAGGUGGCUGAUAUUGACAAAACCAAUUGAUGGUGGUGCUAUAUCUCCUGUUCUAUGUGCUCGCGCAAGCUGUUUCGUGGAUUCACAUCUUUCAGCUGCGACGGAUGCAAUGAUGACAAUGUAGGUGUCGUCAGGUUCCCAGUGCAGAUGGCGGCAAAAGACGUCACUGAUGCAGCUCUUUUUGUCGCAUUUGCUGGGGCAAUCACCAAACUUUAAUUUCUUUAGGGAACCAGAUUCGAUUUUUUAUACAAUGAAACAUUUGGAUUUGAUUCUGUGCACGGCUAAAGUGACCGGAAUUCAGCAAAAUGAUGGUUGGUGUUAUAUUGGCUGCCUAAUUAUAUUGGCUACCAAAUGGGAUUUGCUAAUGCUGUGGCUUUCCUCAGCUACAGGGUGGCAUUGUCUCUGUCGGACCACACUGAUUCAGCGGCUUUCCUAGCUUUUGAUAUGGAGGUUGCUAAACUUACAAACAUUCAAGCUUCUGAAGCUGCACAAAUUGUGGGAAUACCUACACCUUCCAGCUCAAAGUAACCGAAUUCAAUUUCACUUCAAACCACAAAACCUUCACCAUUUCCCGCAUAUUUCCUCAGAGAAAGCUUGCACCUAUGCCUGCCUCUGUUGUAAAUGUUUGUCUCUUUCACUGCUUUGAGUUUGAUUUGACUAGAAACCUGAAGCAUGCACCUUCUUUUGGACCGAGCUGAACUUAUCAUGCUUUGUGGACAUUUAAGAUGAUGAAGACUUUUGUGAAAAAUUAGCUACUGAGAAAAACCCCGUCCUUUUACCUGCGAUUGCUUUUACUCUGAAGAACUGUGAUGGUUGAGGCAUUCUAUUGACAUGGAUACUCCAACUUUGGAGGAUGCAUUUGAUAGAUUGAAGAGCUUUUGUGAUCGCCACUCCAUUUCAGGUGAACCUCCACUCAAAGGUGUCAAUGGUGUCAACGAAGCUCCCCACUCAAAGAUGUCAAUGGUGUCAACUAAAGGGUUCUUAUCGGACCAACCUGUACAGAGAUGGUAUGUUGGUUCCUAUGUUGACAGAAGCUGGAGCUAUCUCUGCAAAAGCUGGAACAACUUCUGCUUAAUAAGCACAUCCAUUUGUGAUUUGCUUCUUCUAUCAGGAGUAAAAGAGAACAAAUUUGUGUAAUAAAUGUCGACUUUGUCUGAAAUGAUUUAGAGUUGUGGUUAAGUCGAAGUCGGUAUUGAACUUCUGAUACAUUUAUGUUAUCAGGGCAAGCUAAUGAGUGACACACUGAGAACAAUUAAUAAAUAAUUAUGCAAUCAACCAGUUUACGCCUCCAAUUUUCAACCACACGAGACUAAAACCAACAACAUUCAAGCAACCACGGCCAUUGUUGCACCCAACCUAAAACAAAAGCUGGUUGAAGCAUGUUACAAGUUAGAAUGCCAGUUACGUUAAGUUUCAGAACAGUAGAAAUUAUGAACAUAGAUAUUGAACCUUAGAUAUAGACAAACGUUAAAUUAAAAAUACUUCGGUUUCAUUGGAUAACAAUUUUUUUAAAAAUAAAUACUCCUAGACUGAUGCUUAUUCAAAAUACAUCACACUUGAACAUAGAUAUUGAAGUUUAUUACAAAAUCUAUUCAUCUAAGCCACUUCAAACAAAGUAAUGUACAGCUGUCCCUGACCUAAAUAUGAUAAAUUUGCAGGAAAAAAGAUGAAGAAGAUAAUGAAUGAUAUUUAAAAUAAAAAGUCUACAUUCAGGUAG